rnacentral:rRNA from 1 species
AGCGCUCUGAAGUCGUCUUCGUCUUCAUCUUCUCCUACCUCCUGCUCAAGAAGCCGUGCGGCCGAUCGGCUGGCUGGGCACGCUGCUGGUACUCUACGGCACGAUCCGCGUGGCGAUGAUCGGUUCGGCGGAGCUGAACUUCAACCGCUGGGCGUGGCCGCGCUGGCGGUCGUGGGCCUGACCAUCGCGAUCAACGCGCU